CCCUUAGACGUUCUGGGCCGCACGCGCGCUACACUGACGAAGGCAACGAGCUACUCUUCACCGAAAGGUGUGGGUAAUCUUUUGAAACUUCGUCGUGCUGGGGAUAGAUCCUUGCAAUUUUUGAUCUUAAACGAGGAAUUCCUAGUAAGCGCAAGUCAUCAACUUGCGUUGAUUACGUCCCUGCCCUUUGUACACACCGCCCGUCGCUACUACCGAUUGAAUGGUUUAGUGAGGCCUUCGGAUCCGCAUUCUUUGUGGAGAAGUUGGACAAACUCAGUCAUUUAGAGGAAGUAAAANUCGUANCA
rnacentral:rRNA from 1 species